GGUAAUUCCAGCUCCAAUAGCGUAUAUUAAAGUUGUUGCGGUUAAAAAGCUCGUAGUUGGAUCUCGGCGGGCAGGGGGCGGUCCGUUAUUUGACGCGACUGCCCCAUUUGCCCGUGUUUCUUCGGCAGAACUCCCGGGGUGCUCUUCGCCGAGUGUCCCGUUGGGGGCUGCCAGGUUUACUUUGAAAAAAUUAGAGUGCUCCAAGCAGGCUCGACACGCCUGAAUAUUCGUGCAUGGAAUAAUGGAAUAGGACGUCGUUCCUAUUUUGUUGGUUUUCGGGAAUCGACGUAAUGAUUAAUAGGGACAGCCGGGGGCAUUAGUAUUCAGACGACAGAGGUGAAAUUCUUGGACCGUCUGGCGACUCACUGCUGCGAAAGCGUUUGCCAAGUAUGUUUUCAUUAAUCAAGAACGAAAGUUAGAGGUUCGAAGGCGAUCAGAUACCGCCCUAGUUCUAACCAUAAACGAUGCCAGCUAGCGAUCCGCAGACGUUUUUAUUGUAGGCUCUGCGGGAAGCUUCCGGGAAACCAAAGCGUUUGGGUUCCGGGGGAAGUAUGGUUGCAAAGCUGAAACUUAAAGAAAUUGACGGAAGGGCACCACCAGGCGUGGAACUUGCGGCUUAAUUUGACUCAACACUGGAAAUCUCACCAGGCCCGGACACCGGAAGGAUUGACAGAUUGAGAGCUCUUUCUCGAUUCGGUGGGUGGUGGUGCAUG
rnacentral:rRNA from 4 species